rnacentral:rRNA from 1 species
UGCAAGUCGUACGCUUUAUGUAGCAAUACAUGAAGAGUGGCGUAAGGGAGAGUAAUGCAUGGUUAGCUACCCUCGGGACUGGGAUAGCGGCGGGAAACUGCCGGUAAUACCAGAUGAUGUCUUCGGACCAAACGUGUGAAUCGGCCUGAGGAGGUGACCAUGUCCUAUCAGCUAGUUGGCGGUGUAACGGACCACCAAGGCAAAGACGGGUAUGGGGCGUGAGAGCGUGCCCCCACUCACUGGGACUGAGACACUGCCCAGACACCUACGGGUGGCUGCAGUCGAGAAUCUUCGGCAAUGGGCGCAAGCCUGACCGAGCGACGCCGCGUGCGGGAUGAAGGCCUUCGGGUUGUAAACCGCUGUCGUAGGGGAGGAAGACUCCGUGCAGAACGGAGUUUGACCGAUCCUAGGAGGAAGGGCCGGCUAAUCUCGUGCCAGCAGCCGCGGUAAUACGAGAGGCCCAAACGUUAUUCGGAUUUACUGGGCUUAAAGAGUCCGUAGGCGGCGCAGAAAGUGGGGUGUGAAAUCCCUCGGCUUAACCGAGGAAUUGCGCUCCAAACUCCUGCGCU